UACGGAGGGGGCUAGCGUUGUUCGGAAUUACUGGGCGUAAAGCGCACGUAGGCGGCUUUGCAAGUUAGAGGUGAAAGCCCGGGGCUCAACUCCGGAAUUGCCUUUAAAACUGCAUCGCUAGAAUUGUGUAGAGGUAAGUGGAAUUCCGAGUGUAGAGGUGAAAUUCGUAGAUAUUCGGAAGAACACCAGUGGCGAAGGCGACUUACUGGACACAUAUUGACGCUGAGGUGCGAAAGCGUGGGGAGCAAACAGG
rnacentral:rRNA from 1 species